rnacentral:rRNA from 1 species
CUUGAAUAUUUAUAAGAGGUCCAGCCUGCCCAGUGACUCUGUUCAACGGCCGCGGUAUCCUAACCGUGCGAAGGUAGCGUAAUCACUUGUUCUUUAAAUGAGGACUAGUAUGAAUGGCACCACGAGGGUUAUACUGUCUCCUUUUUCUAAUCAGUGAAACUAAUCUCCCCGUGAAGAAGCGGGGAUUAAAAUAUAAGACGAGAAGACCCUAUGGAGCUUUAAACUUAAUAACAAGUACUACCCUUUAUUUAACUUUCAGAACAUAUACCUUUAUUCUAGUAUUAUGAUUAUUAGUUUUAGGUUGGGGUGACCGCGGAGCAAAAAUCAACCUCCACAUUGAACGGAACUCAUUCCUGAGCAAAAAGCCACGACUUUAAGCACCAACAAAUUGACAUCAAUUGACCCAAUAUUUUGAUCAACGAAC